rnacentral:tRNA from 1 species
GGUAGUGUGGCCGAGUGGUCUAAGGCGCUGGAUUUAGGCUCCAGUCCCAAAAAAGGCGUGUUUUCAAAUCCCACCACUGCCA